rnacentral:lncRNA from 1 species
AACCUCUUUUAGGUAGACGUCUUAGUAAGUCUACCGAAAGUUUUAUUUUUGUUGUCAAAGGUAAAGACGGAGACUACUGGGGAAGUCUGCGUUAGAAAAAAAAUUUGUCUGCUCAAUUGCAAAACUAACCCGUGCGUUGACAAAUAGACUGCAUCGUAAGUCUCCACGGAGGCGUAGACAUACAAAACAGUCUACCGUCGCGACACAGAUCUGAAAAAGAACGAAAACCAUGUAAAUAGUUACCUUUUUCAUGUGUAAAGCUCGUUUCCAACCUUUUCAACCGUCCAAACUCCAAAUAUGAGCAAAAAGAAACAUCUUUGACUAUUCACUAAUGAAGAAACUCGAAAAUAUGAAGUUUGUGAUUAUGAAAAUGAAAGUUAUGAGAGUUUUUUAGAUGGAAAUGUAGAGGAGAUGAGAGGAAAUGAAGUUUUUUUGGUUAGAAUGAGAAAAAAAGUGGUUGAAAACUGAAUUCUUGAGCUUUAGAGCUCAAAAAUUGUGGUUCAUGGUGGUUGGAAAAAUUGAUGAUGAUGACAUUUUUGUAAAUAAGAAAAAAUGGUUAGGGUGUAUUUGGUUUUUUGUUAAUUUCGAAAUUAAUAAAAAAUUAAAUAAAAAUGGCAAUUUUGUGAAUAAUUCAAAAACAUAGGGAUAGUAUGAAAAUUUUAUUGAUGAAUAGUAAUGACAAAAAAAAGAGGUUUGUUUUGGGUUUGACUAGAAAUUGUGGGUUGGUUUUGAAAAACACCCAUAUUUUUUUUCAGUGUGGUUAUUAUCAAAUGUAAUUGUAGAUUUAAAUGUUAAUUAUAUAACAUGAUGUAUGAUAGACGAAGAAUUGUAAAUAAGAGUUUAAGAUUGAAUGAUACAUUGUAAAUAAUCCAAGAUUUUGGGGAAUUUUUUUUUUUUAAAUCACCAAUAGACAGCAUAAGAAACCUAAAAAGGAACAUAGAUAAUAAAGAGAAAAUUCAGAUUUAAAAGAACAAAAACAAACACAAUGCAUUACAAUUUCUGGUUUAAUAAUUUAAAUGAAGCGGAUAUUUUAUAAAUUACACUUUUUUUUUUGAUAAUUCAGAUAAUCCAGACACCCUGGAGGGAACCUGACUAGCGCCUAAGUACACCUCCGCAUUAGGCAUCCAGACAUUUUAUAAAUUACACUUAAUAUAGAUUAUUCAGUUAAUGAUUUAAUUCAUACAAAUAAUUUGAUUAGCAUAUAUGUAUGACUACAACCUAAAAUACAAGUAUAACCUAAGGAAAUUAAUAUCUAAGUUAGUAUUAAAUUGAAAAAAAAAUUGUCGUAAAAAUCACAUAAUAUAAGGUUUUCGUUAAUGGUCAUGCUUUAAUAAGAGAAAUAUCACUAAUAAUUUGAAAUAAUUAAUUAAAUUACUGCGUACAUACUACAAAAUUCUUGGUUUGAAUUAAAUAAUUUAUUUUGUUUUUUUCUCGGCAAAUGGGCUUUACUAAAUUUUGGUAUUGUUUGUUAUUUUAUAUUAUUUAUCACUAUCAUAUUAUAUAGAGAAAUUUCCUAGGAUAACAUUUAUUAAGUUUUUGUCACAAAAAUAGUUUUCAAUGAAGAAAAUGGCCAAAACAAGUUUUAUUAAAGGACAAAAAUAUAUUUAUGCCAUGGGGUUAAAUAAUCUAGACUUAGGGUUUAGAGUUAAGAGCAAGAUUUUGAGGAAAUGGUUUCAAAUUUGUUUUUAAAAAAAUUAAAAUUUUCAAAUAAAAAGAAGUUAUUUUGAUCAUUUUAUUUAUUGAAUGCUAUUUUGUGACAAAAAAACUUUAAAAAUAGUUAUUUGAGAGAAUUUCAAUAUUAUAUAUAUGUAUAUAUAUAUAGCUAUUUUAAUAGGAAAAUUGUCAAAAAUACGACAUUCAUAAUAUCAUUUUUUAUGUUAACUUUAACCACUCUUACGUUAAAAAUAGAAUACCUGUGGUGGUUGUCAAUUUGUAUCCUUUCUACGACAAAGUUACUGCUCCUGGUGGGAUCAGUUUUGAGGAUGGGAUUGAGAACAUCGACAUUGGUGGUCCUGCUAUGAUUAGAGCAGCUGCUAAGGUAUAUAUAUAUAUGCGCAUAUGAAACUUAUUCCUUAUAUUCAUAUCUUGAUGAUAAAUGUUGUUGGACAGAACCACAAAGAUGUCCUCAUCGUUGUUUUGGAGUAUCUCAAAGGAGGUCAGAACGACCAACAAUUCCGCAGCAAACUUGCGUGGAAGGCCUUUCAGCACGUUGCUGCUUAUGAUUCCGCUGUCUCAGAAUGGCUAUGGAAACAGGCUGAGGGACGUAAGUGCUUAUUUUUUAUGUGAUCCUCCUUACACUAGAUCAAUAUUGGUGUCGUUUCGUCUCCGUUUCUUAUCCCCUGUACCGCUACGAGGUUAAUUGAUUCACUGCAACCACGAUUUCUCCUUCAAUGCUUCUUCCCUCCGUUCAAGGCGGUGCAUCUACAACUAUAAAAAGGUUAGUCUACUUGAAAAGUUUUGUUUUCCAAUAAAAUGGCGAACUCACGCUCACAGAGGGUCUGAUUACAGAGGAACUCAAGCGGACAUAGAGAAGCGUUAACGAGAUUGAAGGGAGCAGUGGCCAUGUUGUCGACGGUGAUCAGCAUGUCAAUACUACGUAGAUGGUGAUUCAGGCGGCGGCUACGGCGGCUUUGGGAGUCAGAAACCGCGUGAAGUACAUGCUCGCACUGGUUCCACUCAAUCAGUCUCCCUUCUUCCUCUGUGCCACUCUCCACCUUCCGGUAAAAUCAACAACCUGAUAUCUGUUUUGAUUAUAGUUCAAAACUUUUUAUAUUUGUUGUGAUUAUUUUCCUUUCGAUUUGGUUGUUCUGAUUUUUUUUUGUUCCCUUAUUGUUUCUACCGAAGCUUUAUGUGUUAGUACUGGAUAAAGAGCAUCCCAAUAACAAAUUUGUUGCUUCUCUUUGGGUGGCAUUCUGGGAUCUCUCACAUUUAUCAUAUGGUUUUGAUGAUUUAUACAAUGAAUUGCUUAUUUUGAAAAAAAAACUUGGUCGGUAGAAUACUUUUGGUUCAUACUUUUGUUGAUCUUUUGAUCUUUUCGGUGGGUAAAGAAUGUGAUACUAAUACCACAAUACAUGUUCUUGGUACUUUCUAUGCAGAAGUUAAGACACAUGAUCGGAAAAAGAACGCAAGAUGUUGCAGUGAAAUUGCAGAAAAAGAUGGAACAGAGUGUUGAAAUUCUCAAAUUGAAGAUCUCACCGGCAGUCACGGCGGAGAAGAAGGGCACCACUAUGAACUACCGUAUGAACCGCAUAAUGAAUAUCUCCUACAACCUGAUCACAUGACCACGCCACUGUUGUGUUAGUUAUCUUUCGUUCAUUUGCUCUUUUAUCCUCCAAACUGUAUAAACAACAGAAGAAACAAGUUUGUAUAUACAUAAAUUCACAAUCCAUGACACAUGCUACACAUAAUAUUUAUAGUUUGAUUGAUGUUGGUUAUGUCAAUACAAAAUACAAUUUUUUUUAAAUACAAAUUCUGUCAUUUUUUGGGACGUGAUGUUGUAAACUAAUGCUUAAAUUGUUUUUAUUUUAAUGGAUUUACACAAAUAAAUAUUUUAAUUGUCAUAUUAUGAUGACAUAAGAAAAAUUAUCAAAUUUUAAUAUAUUGAAAUAUUAAAAAAAAAAUAUAAAGAUAACUCCAGUAUAACAAAACAUUUUAUUUUUGUUGUCAAAGGUAAAGACGGAGACUACUAGGGAAGUCUGCGUUAGAAAAAAAAUUUGUCUGGUCAAUUGCAAAACUAACCCGUGCGUUGACAAAUAGACUGCAUCGUAAGUCUCCACGGAGGCGUAGACAUACAAAACAGUCUACCGUCG